AUGUCUCUCCCUGAACAGCCCGAAAAUGGUACACGCUUUCUCUCUAUCUUUUCUCUUUUUCCGUAUCGCUCUUUCUCAUUCCCAGGUAUCUCUCUCCUCUCUCAAUUUCUUUUCUCUUUCAACUCUUUAAAACCCCUCUCUCACAUCCGGAGCUGUGAUUCAACUUAUCGUCAAAACCCAUCUCUCAUUCAAAGCUGCGAUUCAAGGAUUCAAAACUCUCUCACUCUCUCGCUCAUUGCUUUUGGAAUCGAAGCUGCGAUUUAACUCUUCAAAACCAGGUGAUGAUGACAACGACGUUACCUCCAUAAGCCGUUCCAAUACCAGACCUCGUCAACCUAUAACAAUAGAAGAAUUAUACGAGCUAAGGACAACACUUUCUAAAAUGGAAAAUGAAAUGCAUGGCCAAGGUAGAAGGCUUCAAAGGAUGGAGAAGAAAUUGAAGGCGAUGAUUUAUGUCAUUGUAUUUUGUAUGGUUUUGUACUUGAUGAUGUAAAUUAAUGACUUGUUAAUUUUUGUUAGUUUUGGGAUAAUCUCAUGGCUUGUGGGGCUAUGUUGUAAUUAAAUGAAUGUGGGUGGGUAUAUUUUUGAAGGUGGAAAAGAAUAUGUUGUUGAUGUGGAUGAUGUAUAAUAUGAUUUUCUUAGCUCA